CGGGAUCAUCAGUGAAAAUAGUUGUGGUGCCAGAGGCUGCUUUUAUUGGAAAAAAGAAGAGCAGAAUUCCCUGCUUUCAGAGUAGAAUCCACCAAUUGGAGCUUAUUUCUGUCUGUCCAGCUGCUAUAAAAGCCUGUUCUGUGCUAAGAAGAUCAGCCGUUUACAUCAGAAAAAUGGACAUUUUCAUAGAUCAGGAUGACAAUCAACCAGUUGCAAGAGAGAGUACAGUCUUGCUGCAUUGGCGUGCCCUGCGUUGCCAACAGGAUGAAGAGUAUCAAUGUUAUCUGCUAAUAGACAGAGAAAGGGUAAGAAACUUCAGACAUUUAUAUAACCAACUUGCACUCUUAACUUACACUCUUCUAAAUAUGCAAAAUGAAGUUUGGACAGCGAGAAUCCCUUCUUGUUCAGGGAGAUUGGAUUGAGCUGUUGAAUAGCACUUAAACUUAAGUUUCAUUUUACAUUAGGAGAGAAGGUAAAGGCAACUCCAGGAGUGUGAACUAAAAAAAAAUACAUGAAAGUUUGUUAAGUAAUAGUUAUUGCCCUAUAAAAACUAAAACCCUAAAUCAAUCACUUACAUUUACAAUCAUUAGUGUUUAGUAAUACAUACAAGAAAUGAAUUGAUUGAUUCCAUACCACAGCCUGAAAAUGGGUUGGUCAUUCAGUUUAAAUAUCCUGAUGGUGGCUUAAAAAGGAGCUUCCUGCCCAGUGAGCUAUUUCAGGUAUUUCCAUGUUUCCCUUAUUAUACUUCUCUUCAGAGUUCACAGCUGUUUGCAUGUUUAUAAGUAAUAAAUGUAGAUACUUUUUUGCA
rnacentral:lncRNA from 1 species